UCACAUAGAUUAACUGGGCUAUAGUGCAAAGCAAAACAGAAUAGUGGCUGAGAUAAAAGUUCUCUCUGAACUUAUUAGAUACCCGCACUCUGGAAACAUCCUUCUUACUCUGAGGGGUGUACUGUUUUAUGAGGAUGGGAUUUAAAGUAGAAGGCACAGCUAUGGUCGGGGUAGCAUGUUAAGAGUUGGCUAUGUUUACAGUUAGGCUUAGGGUUUCACGUAGAUUUCAAAUGAAAGAAUGAGUGGGGUUUCAAGUACUGAGUAUAGCUCUUGUAUCAACUAAAAUUGAGCCAGGUUUUCUAUUAAUUUUCAUUUUCCUUUCUUCUAGGUUGUUUCAGUAAUUGCUGGUAAUAGAACCUCUGUUGUUCUGUCAACUAUGGUAAGGGUUGAUGGGGGAGCCCUCACUUUGAGGUAGGUAUGAGAGUAUCUCCUGUGAGGAGUCUGCACAAGACCUUUGAGGACAGCUUUUUUUUCCCAGUGGCUAGCUGAUUACAAAUGAAACACCAACGCUGGGUCACUGAAAUGAUCAUGGACACCUAGGAGGGGGUCAUGGGCAAGGUGCAAGUAUUCUUUUGUGUCUCUUCCCUUGGAUCUGUUGGAGAUAUAAAGCUCAUAGCUUGGUGGUUUUUGGUUUGUGAUCUUGCUGCCAGGUCCUUUACAAAAUGCUCAGCUCGCAUCAGGAGUUCAGGUAGGCCUAUAGCCUCCCAUCUUCUUUUCUGUCUUUUCUGUAUCAAUCUGCUAAUCGCAGAAGUUAAUCGAUUCAUGAAUGGGGCAGCUGAAGCAGGCUGAGUGGCCUUUUAACUGUAUGGAACCCCAAAUGCUAUAAAAUGAGAUUCCACAAGGCUCCAAAGGCUGCCACAAUUCACCCUUCUUUGUGGCUAUGAUUGAAUAGUUGACCUAUUGGUGUGAACUGGGAAGAUUUUAGGAAUGGCUCAUAAAAUGUUAGUUUUGGAGUUCCUGUCAUGGCUCAGUGGUUAAUGAAUCCGACUAGGAACCAAAUGAGGUUGCAGGUUUGAUCCCUGGCCUUGCUCAGUGGGUUAGGGAUCCGGCAUUGCCAUGAGCUGUGGUGUAGGUUCCAGAUGUGGGUCGGAUCCCUGUGUUGCUGUGGCUGUGGCCAGUGCCUACAGCUCCAAUUUGACCCCUAGCCUGGGAGCCUCCAUAGGCCAUGGGAGCAGCCCCAGAAAUGGCAAAAAGCAAAAAAAAGUUAUUUGUUAUUUUUCAAGCCUGUUCAGGUUGAGGCUCUUGAAUAUCAUCCUAGAGCUCACUAACAGUUCACUGUGUGGAAUCCAGGGGCUGAGUCAAAAUAGAGGGGUCUAUUUUGGGAAGGGAAGCAGGAGGCUGUAGGGUCAGCUGGUGGACACAGUGACCAUAUGGCUCCCUGUUGGGUUGAUGGCUGGAUGUGGAAUAAAGAAAAAUAGGGUCAGGUCAUCUGAUCUGAGAACCAAGAUCUUUGGAUGAACUUCCCAUAGAUAGAAGUACCCUGAACCUUCAGAAAAGAACAGGAACCAUGUCUAAAGGUUUGGGAAUAUCAGAGCCAUAUCUUCUCAGAGAAGGACUCCCCAGGCUCUCCAGGCCUCAUUCCCAAGCCUCCCUUAGAGACAAGGCCUCCCCACCUUUGUCCUCGUCAGCUCACUGACCCUAGAGGUCCUGCCUAUCCCUGAGGACUUAGGUUUCCAUAGAGAUACAGUAGUGGAGAAUUGUUCAUACAGCUUACCAGCCUGACCUACAAUACUUUCCAACACCCUUGGGCAGCUCUAGAGACUUGCACCAUCUGGACCCCAUGUGCACAGUGUCCUUGCUUACCAGCUGUGCCACAGAAGAGCCAGAAAUACCUGUGCUUGCUGAACUGAAUCUCACGGGGUUUUCCUGGGAGAGCACUUGCCUACCUUAUCUUUUAUCCAUGAAUCCCCACAACUUGCUGACUGCUGCUUCUCAUGCCAACCACACUCCUGUGAAGGUUCUGCUGUACAGGGUUACCUGCCAUCAGCCUCACCCUUCGAGGGCCCCAGAUUCUAGGACCAUACAAUGCUGAAGGUGUGUCCACCUGCCUAAGGUACAGACACCCCUAAAUCCAUUUGCAUGAUUUCCACUGGAAUUCACCAGCAUUUGGAGGAAGGAAUUCAUUGACCUGAAAGAAUGACUCAACCUGACAGGAGCAAUGCAGUGAUUCAGAAAGAAGGGCCAAUGCACACAUCAAAGGGCCCAACACCCUGGAUGCCCCACUCACAAUUCACAUAAAAUGUCCUAUAUGUACAUACCAAGUGAUGCCUGAAUAGUCUGGCUUGACACAUACUUCCAACCAAACACACAGAUGAGUGGUAUGCUGUAAAUGCUUAUAUAAAGCUCUUUAAAAAGUCAGGUAAGACUUCAUUUAUGAUAUCUACAUGGUAUAAGUAUUCCAAGCAUGAGCAUAUUCAAACUACCAACUUGAUGUAACUGAACACAGAGAUGACUAUCCCAAGCUAUGAACUAGUUCUACAACUACUAACAAAUAACCACAGCCCAUGUUUCUCAUACCUAUAAAUGCAAGUCUCCAACUCCUCCAAAUAAACACAGAAACUCAUCUCUCCUUUAGAAACACACAUACUCAAUUCCCCAAAUAUUUAAUCCUAAAAUGUCCCUACUGAAAAAUACAAGUGCAUAGCCCUAGAAAAUAUUCCUCCAAAUGACCAUGCCCCUUGAAUACACACUCAAACUCAUACACACAACUAUUCUGCAUGAGCCCCAAAUGUACCCACAAUUACCCAGGACCCCACAAAUAUGGCAGUGUAUCACCCUAUGCCUUUUGUUCCAAAUACAUAUAUAAUACACUCUCUGCAUAUACAGAAAAUCACACUCCCCCUUCCAUCAUGCAGAAUAUAGAAGUACAGAAACACAGCACACCUACCUAUAUAAUAUUCACCAGUCCCAUAAAAUAGUCAGACUUGCCCUGUACACAUCAAAAUACACAUACGCAGCUCCUGAAAAAUUACUACACAAAAAAGCAAAUAACCACACAACAUGCUGCAAAUACGCAAAUAAUCAUCCUAACGAGAAGGAUAGAUUCAGAUACUUAAAAUAGAUGAAAAGUCCCACUGGAGAUUAAAGACAAGGUUUAAGUUUAGGAAACUGUUGUAAGCUAAUGAGCACUCAAGAAAAGUAACCCAGCUGUGAUUACAACGGCCUUCACAGAAUUAAUUCUAACCACAGACAUGACUGGCCCUGCCCCCAGGCAGGCCACCCCUUGGGAAACUGCCCUCUGCCCUCGUGCAUGUGCUACUGGCUUCUCAAGCAGACCAGCCUCAACAGACCCUAGGAGCAGUUGGAGGAUGGUAGUCACUGCGCCAGACAGCACCGCCACCGGUGGGCAUGUGCAUGCUUGCUGGCAUGGGAUGUGUGAAUAGCUAGCCCAAGACGUCUGCAAGAGAGGAAUAUUAUGGAGGAUUGGCAUCCCCUGGGGAGAUUUCUUGCAAUGUGUUCUCAUUGGGAUCAUUUGUGGCCAUCUCUGUUUAAAACUGUCUCUUGAGGAUGGGAUUAAGAUGGCAGAAUAGAAGGACUGGAGCUCAACUUCUCUCCUAAAAACAACAAAAUCCACAACUAAAGACUGAGCACUCUUCACCAAAAUGGAUCAGAAACCUUAAAAAAGAUACCCUACUCCAAAAGAAAAAGAGAAGGCCACAUCAAGAGGUAGGAGGGGCAAUUUCACGAUAUAAACAACCCCAUACCUCCUGGGGGGGAACAUCCACAGACUGGAAACUAACUGGUUCACAGAGACUCACCUACAGGAGUGAGAGUUCUGAGCCACACAUCAAACCCUCACAUGUGGGGGAUCCAGCACAGGGAGAAAGAGCCCCAGAGCAUCUGGCAUUGAAGGCCAGUGGGGCUUGUGUGCAAGAGCUCCAUGGGACUGGGGGAAACGGAGACCCCAUUCUUAAAAGGCACACACAGACUUUCACAUGCACUGAGUCCCAGGGCAAAGCAAAGUCUCCAAGGGAAUCUGGGUCAAACCUGACUGCAGUUCUUGGAGGACAUCCUGGGAAAACAGGGGUGAACGUGGCUUGUUGUGAGGGAAGGACAUUGAAAGCAAAGGCUCUUAGGAAUAUUCAGCAGCAGUGCCUUUCUCUGGAGGUGUCCAUUUUGGGAAAAUCUGGCCACACCCAUCAGCCAGCUGUUGAGAAGCCCCAGGGCGAACAACAACCCAGGUGGGAUCACAGCCCCACCCCUCAGUAAACAGGCUACCUAAAGACCCUCAGGCACACAGCUGCCUCUAAUCUCAUCAGUAAGCUAAGCCACACCCACCAGAGGGAGUAGAAUCAGCUCCUCCUACUGGGGGCAGGCAUCAGCCCCUCCCAUCAGGAAGCCUACAGCAAGCCCCCAUGCUGACUUCAGCCACAGGGGGGAAGACAUCAGAAGUAAGAGAGGCUACAACUCUAUUAUCCAUAAGAAGGUCACCACACCAAAAACAUAUAAAAAUGAAAAGACAGAGAACUAUAACUCGGAUGAGGGAUUAAGGAAAAACCCCAGAAAAUCAGCUAAGUGAGGAGGAGAUUCUUAGCCUCCAGGAAAAAGAGUUUAGAAUGUUGUUGCUGAAGAUAAUGCAAGACAUUGGGAAUAAACUGGAGGCAAAGAUGGAUAACUUACAGGAAACACUGACCAAAGAGAUACAAGAUAUACAGCUUAAUCAAGAAGAGAUGCAAAAUACAAUCACUGAAAUAAAAAAUUCACUAGAAUCAGCUAACAGCAGAAUACAGGAGGCAGAAGAAGGAAUAAACAAGGUGGAGGACAGAUUAGUGGAAAUGAUGGAUGCAGAACAGAAAAGAGAAAAAAGAUUGAAAAGAAAUGAAGAGAGUCUCAGAGAACUCUGGGACAACGUGAAAUGCACCAACAUCCGUAUUAUAGGGGUACCAGAAGGAGAAAGAGAGCAGGGGACAGAAAAAAUAUUUCGAGAGAUAAUAGCCGAAA
rnacentral:lncRNA from 1 species